rnacentral:rRNA from 1 species
AUUGAACGCUGGCGGCAUGCCUUACACAUGCAAGUCGAACGGCAGCACGGGUGCUUGCACCUGGUGGCGAGUGGCGAACGGGUGAGUAAUACAUCGGAACGUACCUUAUCGUGGGGGAUAACGCAGCGAAAGCUGUGCUAAUACCGCAUACGCCCUGAGGGGGAAAGCGGGGGAUCGCAAGACCUCGCGCGAGUAGAGCGGCCGAUGCCUGAUUAGCUUGUUGGUGGGGUAAAAGCCCACCAAGGCGACGAUCAGUAGCUGGUCUGAGAGGAAGAUCAGCCACACUGGGACUGAGACACGGCCCAGACUCCUACGGGAGGCAGCAGUGGGGAAUUUUGGACAAUGGGGGCAACCCUGAUCCAGCAAUGCCGCGUGAGUGAGGAAGGCCUUCGGGUUGUAAAGCUCUUUUGUCAGGGAAGAAACACCGGCUCUAACACAGUCUGGGAAUGACGGUACCUGAAGAAUAAGCACCGGCUAACUACGUGCCAGCCGCCGCCGUAA